CGAGCGAGACCUUCGGGUCUAGCGGCGGACGGGUUAGUAACGCGUGGGAACGUACCCUUCUCUAAGGAAUAGCCACUGGAAACGGUGAGUAAUACCUUAUACGCCCUUCGGGGGAAAGAUUUAUCGGAGAAGGAUCGGCCCGCGUAAGAUUAGAUAGUUGGUGGGGUAAUGGCCUACCAAGUCUACGAUCUUUAGCUGGUUUUAGAGGAUGAUCAGCAACACUGGGACUGAGACACGGCCCAG
rnacentral:rRNA from 1 species